rnacentral:rRNA from 1 species
AUGACCAAAGACAACUUAAGGAAGAGACACGUCAUUAAGCCUCUUGAUUGUGUUUUUUGUGAUGAUCAUGAGUUCAACGCUCACCUAUUGUUUGACUGUAUCAUGGCCAAACAUGUGUGGUCCUUCAUCAAUGAACACUUAGGUGUCCAAGUUGGGCUCGACUUUGAGUCUGUUGCUAGAUUUUGGGUCUCUAACAACAGGAACUCAGUUUUGAAUACUGUCAGUUCAGCAGUACUUUGGUGUCUUUGGAAAUAUACAAUUUCUAUGAUUUUCGAUAACACUACUUGAAUCUCUGCUAACUAGGUACUGAGAGUGAUCUUGAACACAAUCUGCAACUGGACUGUUUUGUCCCCACAUCUGUGCAAGGAAAGACUGGUGGUCUUUGCAACACAACUGGCAAAAUUCCUUCAGAAGCCGGUGAUGAUCACCUAUGGAUGA